rnacentral:rRNA from 1 species
AGCUCCAAUAGCGUAUAUUAAAGCUGUUGCGGUUAAAAAGCUCGUAGUUGGAUUUCUGUCAAGGACAACUGGUCCGCCCUCCGGGUGAGCACACAGCUUGGUCUUGGCAUCUUGCUGGAACCUGUGCUGUGCUUGGCUGUAUGGCACAGGGCUCAGCACUUUCACUUUGAGGAAAUUGGAGUGUUUCAAGCAGGCACAUGCCUUUGGACACAGUAGCAUGGAAUAAUUAGAUUGGGCCUUUGCUCCAUCUUGUCGGUUUAUGGAGCUGAGGUGAGAAUUAAUGGGGAUUGUUGGGGGCAUCCGUAUUUAGCCGUCAGAGGUGAAAUUCUUGGAUCUGCUAAAGACGGACGACUGCGAAAGCGUUUGCCCAGGAUGUUUUCAUUGAUCAAGAACGAAAGUA